rnacentral:rRNA from 1 species
CAGUCGCCGCGGUAAUACGUAGGGGGCAAGCGUUGUCCGGAAUCAUUGGGCGUAAAGCGCGUGUAGGCGGCUCGAUAAGUCUGCUGUGAAAGUUCAGGGCUCAACCCUGAAAUGCCGGUGGAAACUGUCGAGCUUGAGUCCGGAAGAGGCAAGUGGAAUUCCUGGUGUAGCGGUGAAAUGCGCAGAUAUCAGGAAGAACACCAAUGGCGAAGGCAGCUUGCUGGGACGGUACUGACGCUGAGACGCGAAAGCGUGGGGAGCAAACAGGAUUAGAUACCCCAGUAGUCCCUGUCUCUUAUAC